rnacentral:tRNA from 1 species
GGGGAUAUAGUUUAAAUGGCAAAACUUCUAAUGUGGGUUCGAUUCCUGCUAUCCCUA